AGUGGCGGACGGGUGAGUAACACGUGGGUAACCUGCCCAGAAGCAGGGGAUAACACCUGGAAACAGAUGCUAAUACCGUAUAACAGAGAAAACCGCCUGGUUUUCUUUUAAAAGAUGGCUCUGCUAUCACUUCUGAUGGACCCGCGGCGCAUUAGCUAGUUGGUGAGGUAACGGCUCACCAAGGCGAUGAUGCGUAGCCGACCUGAGAGGGUAAUCGGCCACAUUGGGACUGAGACACGGCCCAGACUCCUACGGGAGGCAGCAGUAGGGAAUCUUCCACAAUGGACGCAAGUCUGAUGGAGCAACGCCGCGUGAGUGAAGAAGGGUUUCGGCUCGUAAAGCUCUGUUGUUAAAGAAGAACGUGGGUGAGAGUAACUGUUCACCCAGUGACGGUAUUUAACCAGAAAGCCACGGCUAACUACGUGCCAGCAGCCGCGGUAAUACGUAGGUGGCAAGCGUUAUCCGGAUUUAUUGGGCGUAAACCGAGCGCAGGCGGUCUUUUAAGUCUAAUGUGAAAGCCUUCGGCUCAACCGAAGAAGUGCAUUGGAAACUGGGAGACUUGAGUGCAGAAGAGGACAGUGGAACUCCAUGUGUAGCGGUGAAAUGCGUAGAUAUAUGGAAGAACACCAGUGGCGAAGGCGGCUGUCUGGUCUGUAACUGACGCUGGGGCUCGAAAGCAUGGGUAGCGAACAGGAUUAGAUACCCUGGUAGUCCAUGCCGUAAACGAUGAUUACUAAGUGU
rnacentral:rRNA from 1 species